rnacentral:lncRNA from 1 species
GAUGAUCAGUAUGCUGACAUAGUGCAAAACCAGUACCUGCAGACAGCUGUGACAUUUCUGGCUCAUGAAGGCCCCUUCGGGAUACGCUAGCCUGCAUAUCCCUGUUCUCCUCUCUACUCACAGCUCUUAGAGUGUUUGUGAAGCACCAAGAGACUCCAAUUGUAAAGGCCAAUAGGUGGACUCUCAGCUAAAUUCUGCACAUCGCCUUGACAUUUUGUUUUCUCUGUCCCUUGCUCCAUAUUGGACACCCCAAGCAGUCACCUGUGCUAUGCAGCAGACCACAUUUGGAGUUCUACUCACUAUGGAUGUUCUAGAAUAUAUAGUUUUAGAAUCCUCCUGGUCCAGGAAGAAAAAUGAGUACUAUGAUGAUGUCAGAGCACCUAAAUUCAUUAAUCCUUCUAUUUUGAUUCUAGUUAUUCUCUGGAAUGUGGUUAGAAGCACUUCCUUCCUUUGUUAAUACAGAUGCACACACUGACCAUGGCCACAUCAUCACUGGAUGCAAGAAAGUCUCAGCCACUGCCUUCCUCUGUGUUCUUGAAGAUCUGGGCUCUCUAGCCCUUAGGAGCUGCACUGUGGUUUCAGUGUCAGAAGAUUACCUGACACUUAAAUGAAGCCAAGUUCCUGACCUUCAGUAUGCUGCUAUUAGUGCCAUGGUGACUUUUCUCUUUGUCUACCUUAGUACUCAGGGGCAAGUCACGAUGGCUGUCUUUUCCAUCUUGGCCUGUAAUGUAGACAUGCAUCUUUUUUUCCCCCAGAAUGCUACAU